CUUGGUAUUCUAUCGUUGUUGCAAGAUUUGAAUCUAAAGGGUUGAGUUGGAAUCCAUGCCUAACAUGGUCUAUAUAUGGAAGUGAAACAUUAUUGCAGCAAAGUGGUUGAGGGUAUUUUUCAACUUAAUUGUAGACAUGCACUGAAAUUAUCAAAAUUUCACUUUGGCUGAGUUGGAAUCCAUGGCAAUAAUUGCAUUGGAACUGUUCAGUGAAGUAACAUGUACAGAAAGAAAGCUCCAGUCAUGUGAACUGAAGAUGUGAACAUCUGGCCUUUUGAAGUGUAUGAGUGGUGCCGAUGUAGUUGGGAAGAGCAAAGGACUGCAGUGGAUGUAUAUUCCAGUAGUCAUAGGAAUGAUUUUGAAUCAGUUAAUGGAAGAUGAUGAUGAAGUGGAUGUCUCAAUGGAUGCAGGAGAAGCUUUUUGGGUAAAGGAACUUGGAAUUCAUGUUCUUAUGUCAGCCUAAAAAGCAAUGGCAGCCAACACCACAACAAUGAUCCUUGUCACCAGAAUGUCAUUGAUUUAUCAGCGUAUUGGAUGAGGACAUGGGACUACUUCCUAUGCAAUCACGAUUGAUUUCAUAGGGCUAGACUCUAUUUCAGGAUUUUAAGUAUAAUGAAAAGUUUAGUUAGUUGUCUUCCUUCAAAAUGUAUGCCAGGCUUUUACACUUGCUGCAGAACUAUGGGCACAAUGGAAGUGUCAGACAUUAGCGUGAGAGGAAGGUUUUUGAUUGGUGAUUUUGAGAUAUUUGUCUACGAUGGUUAGCAAACAAGAAAAUUCUUUUUCAUUUUUGAGGACAUUUUGACCCGCGCAUAGAUCCUUUUUCAACUCCUUGGAAGAAGGGUGUGUACUCCCAGCCAUAUUGGGGCAUAUUAUGAUCUUGUUUUGAGAGUGAAGACCAGAAGUUUCAAUGUUCGAUUCAUUAUUAUUUAUUUAUUUGUAUU